AACAAAAGCAUGGUGCAGCUAAUCUGGAAAACAGUACUUUUUACAUGUCCAUGACCUUCAAAAGGUCAUUUGACCAUUAUUACAAUAGAACUGCCUGGUUCAACAUGUUUCAGCUAGCUGGAAACUAGUGCAUGUUCUUCAACAGGCCAACCAUCCUCUUAUUACAGCAACACAUUCAGUCAUUUCCAUGAUAAGAUCAGCCAUCGUGGGACUUGACGACCGUGACAGGGCAGGUUGCGUUAUUGACGACGUAGUCGCUGACGCUUCCCAAGAGCACCCUGCAGGAAGAUAUCAGAAGAUCAGCACUGGCAUGUGGAAGAUAACAUACUCUUUAAGGACAGUUUGGGAGCAGCUUGGUGCAACCUCUUGAGCUUUCCCAGGCCUCUGCUUCCUAUGACCAAGCAGCUCAAGGGCGUGUCGCUGAUAGCCUGGCAUAGCUUCUCACGGGGAUCUCCCCAGAGGACUUUGACAACCACC
rnacentral:lncRNA from 1 species